CCCGGCCCCUCCUGCCUGGCCGCGGGGUCCCUGUGGCCACCUCGACCUGACCUUGACCAGCCUGUGGCAUUCUUAAAUUGCCCUUGGGUCCCGCCGCCUCUACGGUUACCUUUAAAAACAGACUCCCCAGCAAACUCCAAAGGCUGAAUCUGUCGAGGCCCGGGAGGCUGUGUCUCUGGCCCGACACCCCCGCCCGCGUCCCCCCUCCGUCCACCUUGUCUGAUGGUGACAGUCCGCGGUAAACAGCGUCUCCACCGAACCUGCUUUGCCAUGGAAAAGCCGUACCAGCGCAGCCUGCACGCCCCCACCAGCCAGGGCCCCUCUACGGUGCCCGCAAGUAACAAAGCCUCAACAUUUACUAAGCGGGCGCCGACAGGAACCACCCUUCAAGCCUGACAAUGUGGAAUCCUCUUUUAAAAGAAAUCCUAAGGCUUCUUGCAUUGAACAACUGUUGCUGGAAGAAAAUUCUUUGAAUCAUGCUGAUUUAGAAAUCUGUUCUUCCUUUCCGAGUGGCCAUUGAUAUCAGCUAGUUCUCUAAGAGUUUCAGAGACGUGAAAAAGGGCCACUAGCAAUGGCCGUAGGGCUCCUGCAGACGCCAUCCCAGGCCCGGUCUCAUGCUUGCACUGCAUCCCCACGAUGGCCUGUGGAGCUGAUGUCAGUACCUGCGUUUUAGAGCCCAGGAAACCGAGGUUUUAAAAGGAUCAGGCACCCGGCCCACUGACACAGGGACGUAAACCCAGGGGGCCCUUUCCCAGGCCUGCACUGUCUCUCCCUCCUCGCUGCC